AUUGAACGCUGGCGGCAUGCCUAACACAUGCAAGUCGAGCGGAGGAAGGGAGCUUGCUCCCGGAUUCAGCGGCGGACGGGUGAGUAAUGCCUAGGAAUCUGCCUGGUAGUGCGGGAUAACGUCCGAAAACGGGCGCUAAUACCGCAUACGUCCUGAGGGAGAAAGUGGGGGAUCUUCGGACCUCUCGCUAUCAGAUGAGCCUAGGUCGGAAUAGCUAGUUGGUGGGGUAAAGGCCUACCAAGGCGACGAUCCGUAACUGGUCUGAGAGGAUGAUCAGUCACACUGGAACUGAGACACGGUCCAGACUCCUACGGGAGGCAGCAGUGGGGAAUAUUAGACAAUGGGCGAGAGCCUGAUCCAGCCAUGCGGCGUGUGUGAAGAAGGUCUUCGGAUUGUAAAGCACUUUAAGUUGGGAGGAAGGGCAGUAAGUUAAUACCUUGCUGUUUUGACGUUACCAACAGAAUAAGCACCGGCUAACUUCGUG
rnacentral:rRNA from 1 species